GAUGAACGCUGGCGGCGUGCCUAAUACAUGCAAGUCGAGCGAACGGACGAGAAGCUUGCUUCUUUGAUGUUAGCGGCGGAAGGGUGAGUAACACGUGGAUAACCUACCUAUAAGACUGGGAUAACCUCGGGAAACCGGAGCUAAUACCGGAUAAUAUUUUGAACCGCAUGGUUCAAAAGUGAAAGACGGUCUUGCUGUCACUUAUAGAUGGAUCCGCGCUGCAUUAGCUAGUUGGUAAGGUAACGGCUUACAAAGGCAACGAUGCAUAGCCGACCUGAGAGAGGGAUCGGCCACACGGGAACGUGGACACGGUCCAGACUCCUACGGGAGGCAGCAGUAGGGAAUCUGCCGCAAUGGGCGAAAGCCUGACGCAGCAACGCCGCGUGAGUGAUGAAGGUCUUCGGUUCGUAAAACUCUGUUAUUGGGGAAGAACAUAUGUGUAAGUAACUGUGCACAUCUUGACGGUACCUAAUCAGAAAGCCACGGCUAACUACGUG
rnacentral:rRNA from 1 species